rnacentral:lncRNA from 13 species
AGCCUUGUGAAACACUACCAUUCUCUGCUAAGCAAUUGUGGCCUGUAGCCAUGUCUUGAGGAGAAAAUCAAGAACGGGAUGUCAGCAGCUGUAAGGAUUUGGGCUACAUUCUGCAGUCUUUGCAAUAGCUCACCUCUAAUCCUGUUUUAAACCUAAACAUGUUCCUGCUGACCACUGCUGAAGGUUUGUAAUUAAGAACAAAGGACUGAACUACUGCCCUGAAUUCCUUUAUGUGGUUGAAAUCUAGAUUAUGAAAGUAGCAGGUGCUAAGUAUCAGUGCUAAAUGCUGUGUAUAUCACUACAUAAAAUAAGAACAUCAAAAAGAUUAGCAUUGGACAUCUUAAUAAAUUAAGUUGAUAUGAGGUUAAUGUGUUGAUAAAACUAAUUUUAGACAUCUGAAGACCUUUAAAACAUUUCAUACAAUUAUUAUUUUGCAAAGACUGAAAACUGGGGACUCAAGUACUGUAACUGAUUAAAGAUGUGCCAUGCAUUAUUGGAUUAUCACACUUACAAAUCUGUUUGCCUUCUACAGAGUUUCAACUCUACAGCUGAAGGCAGAGCUAGCUAAACCAGCUGAAAAAAAGAGCACUCUCCUGGUACAGGGACAGUGUGGAUCCAAACACCUACAAACUCAGGAAUGGGUAGAAAUCAGAAUUUCCUGUUCCUGGGGGAAUGUUCUUUAGAUGGACUAUUCUUAAAUGACACCCUCUGUGAAGACUCUGUUCCUUUCCACAUUACAGCUUAUUAUGAACAGAAACCUUAAUUGUUCAGUAUGCCACCUGUUUGACAGAAGGAAAUGAGGAACAAUUACUGUCUGUGGAUUUCACAUGGAGCCAGGAAAGACAAUGAAAAAUGAAGCAAGUUAUGUUUUAUAAGGGAAAAUGAAAAGCCAUUUAUGAGCACCGGAAUUAAUGGCUCUCCUUGAGAUAUAUAUAUAUUUUUAUUAUUUUAUAUGUUUUUAUGUCUCACAGUUGAAUUAUAUUAGCUUUACCUUCUUUCUGGUACUUCUCAAAUCUCUCGUCACACUUUGAUGAGGUGUGGGGAGCUGGGAGUGGGCAUGGGUACCGACAGACUGAGGAUCUCCUGCUUCUGCAUGUCCAUGUGAGCCAAAGAGAGCCACUCUGCUCAUCCCUCAUCCCAGGGAGGAGAAGGCUUUGUGAGCAAAACAUGUUGUGUGCUGGUCCCUUACAUGAGCUCCUUAAA